CAAUAGCGUAUAUUAAAGUUGUUGCGGUUAAAAAGCUCGUAGUUGGAUUUCUGCUGAGAACGACCGGUCCGCCCUCUGGGUGUGUAUCUGGCUCUUUCUUGGCAUCUUCUUGGUGAACGUUGCUGCACUUGACUGUGUGGAGCGCUACCCAGGACUUUUACUUUGAGGAAAUUAGAGUGUUUCAAGCAGGCAUACGCCUUGAAUACAUUAGCAUGGAAUAAUAAGAUAGGACCUCGGUUCUAUUUUGUUGGUUUCUAGAGCUGAGGUAAUGAUUAAUAGGGAUAGUUGGGGGCAUUCGUAUUUAACUGUCAGAGGAGAAAUUCUUGGAUUUGUUAAAGACGGACUACUGCGAAAGCAUUUGCCAAGGAUGUUUUCAUUGA
rnacentral:rRNA from 1 species